rnacentral:lncRNA from 1 species
UCUGGCUGGAUUCAGUCAACGUUCUUCCUCCAGCUGGCUCGUUGCUGGGAAGGGCUCUCUCAAACGGCCCCAACUGAGAUGAUCUAGCUGUGCUUCAGAGGAACUCUAGUCUUACAGCAGCAGACCAGUCUGUAAGGUUAUCCAAGGACAGGUGGAGGUCCAGGGGAAAGCAAGAGAAACUUGCAAAACUCAGAAGGGAACAAGGGCUCCAGAGGUCAUUCUCAAGAAGUGACAAAUGGGCAGUCAUGAACCAUUCUUACCUCCUAACAUGAGUCAUGGGAUGAAAACACAGACUCCGCCUUGGGAUGGAAGGAGCUGCUCAUGUUAAAAAGGGCAAGGACACAAGGAGGCCAUGGAUCAUGGCCCUCAGAGGAACUGAUCUAUCACCACUGCCCUCCGGCUUCCAUUUCUCACUUUAUUUGAUGUAAGGAUGUUCUCCAAACUUUCUCAAGUCUCAUCCAACUACUGUCUGGGGGUUAAAUCGAAGAUCCUACAAUAUUCAGCAGGUCCAGACAUGGGAGUGUGCUCACAAAGAUCUAACAGCUAAUUCUUGGGGGAAACAACCCUGAUUUGUAGCACUGGCUGAUCUCUGUGGUGUACACACCCCCACUGUGGCCAAUUUCAAGGCACCAACAUGAGGUCACUGUAAGUGCAGUGGGGAAAAAAAGCAUAUUGUCCAGUCAGGACACUCAUGGUCUGGAGACCCGGAAACUGAAAUGGAGCCGGCUGCACGACUCUGCUCUCCCAGACCAGGCACGACUGAUGGUAAAGGUGACCCUUGAGCAGCUUGAGGCUUUUGCUUCUGAAAGCAGUUUCAGAGAUAGAGCUCAGUGAUUCAUCAGUUGCCUGUAAUACCCAGUGCUCAUUACGUCAAGUGAACUCUUUCAUGCUCUAUAAAGAACUUACCAAAUGCAACACCCAAAAAAACAAAUAAUUCAGUCAAGAAAUGUGCAGAAGACAUGAAAAGACAUUUCUCCAAAGAGAGUACAAACUUUGAAGCCAAGGAAAAGUUCAUUAUGUUUGGAUCAUUACAACUUUUUAAAAAACAAGGAAGUCCAUGCUGAUCAAUUCCUAGAGAAGUGUUCAAUAUGUGUGUCUAUAACUCAAACAAUAAACCUGUCUCAUGAG